AAUACCCCAUAGACCAGGGACGCUGGAAUGCCCCCUGGUCGAAAGGUCCGCCGCCUGAGGAUGGGUCUGCGGCCGAUUAGGUUGUUGUUGGGGUAACGGCCCAACAAGCCUUUGAUCGGUACGGGUUGUGAGAGCAAGAGCCCGGAGAUGGAUUCUGAGACACAAAUCCAGGCCCUACGGGGCGCAGCAGGCGCGAAAACUUUACAAUGCGAGAAAUCGUGAUAAGGGAACCCCGAGUGCCCGCAAAUUCGGGCUGUCCAUCAGCGUAAAAAACUGGUGAAGAAAGGGCCGGGCAAGACCGGUGCCAGCCGCCGCGGUAAUACCGGCGGCUCGAGUGGUGGCCACUAUUACUGGGCUUAAAGCGUCCGUAGCUGGAUUGUUAAGUCUCUUGGGAAAUCCGCCGGCUUAACCGGCGGGCGUUCAGGAGAAACUGGCAAUCUAGGGACCGGGAGAGGUGAGAGGUACUCCAGGGGUAGGAGUGAAAUCCUGUAAUCCUUGGGGGACCACCUGUGGCGAAGGCGUCUCACUAGAACGGCUCCGACAGUGAGGGACGAAAGCUGGGGGAGCAAACCGGAUUAGAUACCCGGGUAGUCCCAGCUGUAAACGAUGCGCGUUAGGUGUAUCGGUGACCACGAGUCAUCGAGGUGCCGAAGGGAAACCGUGAAACGUGCCGCCUGGGAAGUACGGUCGCAAGGCUGAA
rnacentral:rRNA from 1 species